UUAAAUUGAAGAGUUUGAUCAUGGCUCAGAUUGAACGCUGGCGGCAGGCCUAACACAUGCAAGUCGAACGGUAACAGGAAACAGCUUGCUGUUUCGCUGACGAGUGGCGGACGGGUGAGUAAUGUCUGGGAAACUGCCUG
rnacentral:rRNA from 3 species